UGCGGUUGGUGCCAGAUUGUGGGGCUUCACUGUACUUUUACUUCCACUAUUUAAGUGCUUUGAAUAUGAGAAAACUACUUUGGAUACGAAAGUCAUCGCGUGUCGAGAGCGGGACACGCCAUUGUUGUUCUUAGCCGGUUACAUGAGCGCAGAAGGGCGAUGACGCAAAGACGGCGUUUCGCAACGUUUGUCGAGCCAAGACGAGCGCGGGCACCGCAACUGAAAUGUCGGGCGUUGGAGGCGGAGACCGUUUCUCCCGAAAAAUCUUCAGCGAGAGGUGAGCAAGCGAGCCCGCCUGCGACCGGUGAGCGCAGCGGGCGAGGAAGAGGAACGCCCGAGAACGUCCUCAAGGAGCCCGAACGGGGGACAAGAAAAUGUAGAAAUAUGUCAUCAAUUUGGAAAUAUGCGUAUUUUUUAAAUAUUUGAAAUGGCUGGAUAAAUUGCUUAUUCUGUGGGCGAAUGAUUUUAAAUAUGCAUUUAAUUUCAGUGAAAUAAUGUGAGUACAAUUUAUAUGACUAAACAUAAAUGACAUUGACAUACAUGUUUGGCCUGACAUUUUCCAAGGCGUCAAUCACAAAUAUGCUUCUUCAUAUAGAGUAAUAAUUCAAGUUAUUAUACUAA